rnacentral:rRNA from 1 species
GGUCUCAGUUCAGAUUGCAGGCUGCAACUCGCCUGCAUGAAGUUGGAAUUGCUAGUAAUCGCGAAUCAGAAUGUCGCGGUGAAUAACGUUCCCGGGCCUUGUACACACCGCCCGUCACACCAUGAGAGUCGAUAACACCCGAAGCCUGUGAGCUAACCGUAAGGAGGCAGCAGUCGAAGGUGGGGUUGAUGAUUGGGGUGAAGUCGUAACAAGGUAAC